GGACUACUGGGGUAUCUAAUCCUGUUUGAUCCCCGCACUUUCGUGCCUCAGCGUCAGUUACUCCUUGGUAAGCUGCCUUCGCUAUCGGUGUUCUUGACGAUAUCUAAGCAUUUCACCGCUACACCGUCAAUUCCGCCUACCUCAUCAGUACUCAAGUCCCGCAGUAUCAAUGGCACCUCGACAGUUGAGCUGCCGUAUUUCACCACUGACUUAUGGGACCGCCUACGCACCCUUUAAACCCAAUAAAUCCGGACAACGCUUGCCACCUACGUAUUACCGCGGCUGCUGGCAC
rnacentral:rRNA from 2 species